CUGCAGCUCAGCCUUUAAACCUCCAUUCCCGGAAGGGAAACUACGCGGCGAAGGUGACCGGGGACCGAGCAUUUCAGAUCUGCUUGGUAGACCUGGUGCCCCACCACCAUGUUGGCUGCAAGGCUUGUGUGUCUCUGGACACUACCUUCUAGGGUUUUCCACCCAGCUUUCACCAAGGCCUCCCCUGUUGUGAAGAAUUCCAUCAUGAAGAAUCAAUGGCUGUUAACACCCAGCAGGGAAUAUGCCACCAAAACAAGAAUUGGGAUCCGGCGUGGGAGAACUGGUCAAGAACUCAAAGAGGCAGCAUUUGAACCAUCGAUGGAAAAAAUACUUAAAAUUGAUCAGAUGGGAAGAUGGUUUGUUGCUGGAGGGGCUGCUGUUGGUCUUGGAGCAUUGUGCUACUAUGGGUUGGGACUGUCUAAUGAGAUUGGAGCUAUUGAAAAGGCUGUAAUUUGGCCUCAGUAUGUGAAGGAUAGAAUUCAUUCCACCUGUAUGUACUUAGCAGGGAGUAUUGGUUUAACAGCUUUGUCUGCCAUAGCAAUAAAUAGAAUGCCUGUUCUCAUGAACUUCAUGAUGAGAGGCUCUUUGGUGACAAUUGGUAUGACCUUUGCAGCCAUGGUUGGAGCUGGAAUGCUGGUACGAUCAACACCAUAUGACCAGAGCCCAGGCCCAAAGCAUCUUGCCUGGUUGCUACAUUCUGGUGUGAUGGGUGCAGUGGUGGCUCCUCUGACAAUAUUAGGGGGUCCUCUUCUCAUCAGAGCUGCAUGGCACACAGCUGGCAUUGUGGGAGGCCUCUCCACUGUGGCCAUGUGUGCGCCCAGUGAAAAGUUUCUGGACAUGGGUGCACCCCUGGGAGUGGGCCUGGGUUUCGUCUUUGUGUCCUCACUGGGAUCUGUGUUUCUUCCACCUACCACUGUGGCUGGUGCCACUCUUUACUCAGUGGCAAUGUAUGGUGGAUUAGUUCUUUUCAGCAUGUUCCUCUUGUAUGAUACCCAGAAAGUAAUCAAGCGUGCAGAAGUGUCACCAGCGUAUGGAGUUCAAAAAUAUGAUCCCAUUAACUCGAUGCUGAAUAUCUACAUGGAUACAUUAAAUAUAUUUAUAUGAGUUGCAACUAUGCUAGCAACUGGAAGCAACAGAAAGAAAUGAAGUGACUCAGCGUCUGGCUUCUCUGCUACAUCAAACAUCUUGCUUGUUUAAUGGGGCAGAUAUGCAUUAAAUAGUUUGUACAAGC